UCCCUAGUGCCCCCUAGCGGCAGUCCUCCCACUGCUCCCUAGUGCCCCCUAGCGGCGAUCCUCCCAUUUCUCCAUAGCGCCCCCUAGCGGCAGUCCUCCAACUGCUCCACAGCGCCCUCUAGCGGCGGUCCUCCCACUGCUCCAUAGCGCCCCCUAUGGGUCUCCAUGUCUCCAUUGCCCCCUAUGGGUUUCUGUUCAGUAUUUCUCUCUAGCGCUCCCUAGCGGCAGUCCUCCCACCGCUCCAUAGCGCCCCCUAGUGGCGGUCCUCCCAGUGCUCUCUACUGCCCCCUAGUGGUCACCCUGACAUUGCUCCCUAGCGCCCCCUAGCGGCAGUGUUGCCGUUGCUCCCUAGCUCCCCCUAGCGGCGGUCCUCCCACCGCUCCAUAGCGCCCCCUAGUGGCGGUCCUCCCACUACUCCCUACUGCCCUCUAGCGGCCGCCAACGCGCAUUGCAUCGUCUCCCCUCCCAGUGCUCCCAGUUUGCCCAGUAGCAGCGCCGCCAUGCCUCACCAGUACCCAGCGCUCACCCCGGAGCAGAAGCAGGAGCUGCACGACAUCGCCAAGCGCAUCGUGGCGCCGGGCAAAGGCAUCCUGGCUGCUGAUGAGUCCACCGGUGCGUAAUGGGGUGGACUGGGAGGGGAUAUGGGGCGGCUGGGCCGUACUGGGAGGAGAUAUGGGGUGACUGGGAUGGUCUGGGAUGGACUGGGAGGGGAUACAGGGCGACUGGGAUGGACUGGGAGGAGAUAUGGGAUGACGGACUGGGAUGGACUGGGAUGGACUGGGAGAGCACUAUGAGAAGAUAUGGGGUGACUGGGAUGGACUGGGAGGGGAUACGGGGCGACUGGGAUGGAAACUGGGAUGGACUGGGAGGGGAUACGGGGCAACUGGGAUGGACUGGGAUGGACUGGGAGGAGAUAUGGGGUGACCGGCCAUACUGGGAUGGACUGGGAGGAGAUAUGGGGCGACUGGGAUGGACUGGGAGGAGAUAUGGGGUGACUGGGAUGGACUGGGAGGGGAUAUGGGGUGACUGGGCCAUACUGGGAUGGACUGGGAGGGAAUAUGGGCUGACUGGGAUGGACUGGGAUGGACUGGGAG
rnacentral:lncRNA from 7 species